rnacentral:misc_RNA from 1 species
UUUCCGUAGGUGAACCUGCGGAAGGAUCAUUCAUAAUAAGUGUUUUAUGGCACUUUUCUAAAUCCAUAUCCACCUUGUGUGCAAUGUCAGGGUUGAUUUUUCUCUCGAGAGGAUCAGCCCCAAACAUCAACUAUAUCUCAACUCUUUGUCUGAAAAAUAUUAUGGAUAAAACAAUUCAAAAUAAACUUUCAACAACGGAUCUCUUGGCUCUC